UCCCUGGUGGCUUAGAAGGUAAAGCUUCUGCCUGCAAUGUGGGAGACCUGGGUUUCAUCCCCAGGUUGGGAA
rnacentral:tRNA from 1 species